CGUAAUAAUAGAAACUAACCAGGAUUCCCUUAGUAACGGCGAGUGAACUGGGAUACCCAAUAUAUACCAUCUGUGCGUACCUCGGUGCGUACAAAUUUUAGCCCGUCGAUACUAUCCUAGCAUAGUACUGGCUUCGGCCGGUAACCUAUCUAUGCGGGAAUUGUAGCAUCGUACAAAAAUAUAUUAUACAACGUAUAUACGCAACCCACACUUAUAUAUAUUUUUAUGCGUACACUUACUUUCAUAAACACACAGCGCUCCCGCGUUGGAAAGCAAGUCUAUAUCCUUUUUGGAUAUGCCAUAGAGUGUGACGGCCACGUUUCAACUCUCUACAUAUACGCAUGCGUUAUAUACAUACACUGUAUUUUAUAUAUAACCUGAGUCGAGUUAUUU
rnacentral:rRNA from 1 species